ACAAAGGCUCUUUUGAGAGCCACCUAUGUUUUCAAAGAAAGAGUUG
rfam:Sarcophilus harrisii ctg7180002475402, whole genome shotgun sequence.